GUGCUCCCCCGCCAAUUCCUUCGUAGGUGGAGUCGCCGCGGUGAUGGACAGGGGCCGUGAGGCUCUCAAGGGACUGGUCGCGCGCGGAAAUGGCAGGUCGCGUGGCGGGAAGCAGCGCCAGCGCGAGCUGAAUACCUGACCGCUCGCGUGCGGUGAGACGCGCGAACAGCCAGGAUUCUUGCUGGAAAUGCGCCGGGACACUACGGCGCAUCCUGGACCAGUUACCCCUUCUCGGGCUCGGUGACGUCCGGCACGUGCGGCGGUCCGCCGGGCCUGUACUCACGCUGGUAGAUCCGCAGGAGCGAGAGGAAGAGGGCGACCGCGAUCGGUCCGACGACGACGCCGAGGAUGCCGAAUGCCUCGACGCCGCCGAAGAUGGCGAUGAAGACGAGCAGAUCGUUCAUGCGCAUCCGCGUGCCGACGAGCUUCGGCCGCAGGAUGUAGUCGGCGAUGAAGACGAUGACGAACGCGCCCCAGAGGGCGAGCCCGAGGCCCUCGGCCACGUGGUGGUUGAAGAAGACGAACAACGAGACCGGAACCCAGACCAGCGCGGUUCCCACGCCGGGCAGGAUCGAUGCGACGCCCGUCAGCGAGGCCCAGACGAGGGGACUGUCGACGCCGAAGAUCCAGUAGCCGAUGAAUGCGACCGUGCCCUGGUAGAGCGCGGUGAUCCCCGUGCCGAACAGCAUCGCGCGCGUCACGUCGCGCACGUUGCGGACCAGUUCCCAGACCUGGCCGUCCGGCAGGUCAACCGGAG
rnacentral:rRNA from 1 species